rnacentral:rRNA from 1 species
GGUCAAGCGAAUAAGCGCACACGGUGGAUGCCUAGGCGGUCAGAGGCGAUGAAGGACGUGGUAGCCUGCGAAAAGUGUCGGGGAGCUGGCAACAAGCUUUGAUCCGGCAAUAUCCGAAUGGGGAAACCCACUGCUUCGGCAGUAUCCUGCAGUGAAUUCAUAGCUGCUGGAAGCGAACCCGGUGAACUGAAAUAUCUAAGUAACCGGAGGAAAAGAAAUCAACCGAGAUUCCCUAAGUAGUGACGAGCGAACGGGGAGCAGCCCUUAAGCUGGAAUGGCUUUAGAAAAACAAUCUGGAAAGAUUGGCCAUAGAAGGUGAUAGCCCUGUAUUUAAAAGGGCCACUCCAGUGAAGACGAGUAGGGCGGGGCACGUGAAACCCUGUCUGAAUAUGGGGGGACCAUCCUCCAAGGCUAAAUACUCCUGACCGACCGAUAGUGAACCAGUACCGUGAGGGAAAGGCGAAAAGAACCCCGGAGAGGGGAGUGAAAUAGAUCCUGAAACCGUGUGCGUACAAGCAGUAGGAGCUCGCAAGAGUGACUGCGUACCUUUUGUAUAAUGGGUCAGCGACUUACUGUUCGUGGCAAGCUUAACCGUAUAGGGGAGGCGAAGGGAAACCGAGUCUGAUAAGGGCGCAUAGUCGCGGGCAGUAGACCCGAAACCGGGUGAUCUAGUCAUGGCCAGGGUGAAGGUGCCGUAACAGGUACUGGAGGCCCGAACCCACGUCUGUUGCAAAAGACGGGGAUGAGCUGUGAUUAGGAGUGAAAAGCUAAUCGAACCCGGAGAUAGCUGGUUCUCCUCGAAAGCUAUUUAGGUAGCGCCUCAUAUGUAUCCUCUCGGGGGUAGAGCACUGUUAUGGCUAGGGGGUCAUCGCGACUUACCAAACCAUUGCAAACUCCGAAUACCGAGACGGACUGUAUGGGAGACACACGGCGGGUGCUAACGUCCGUCGUGAAAAGGGAAACAACCCAGACCCACAGCUAAGGUCCCAAAUUCACUGCUAAGUGGAAAACGAUGUGGAAAGGCAUAGACAGCCAGGAGGUUGGCUUAGAAGCAGCCACCCUUUAAAGAAAGCGUAAUAGCUCACUGGUCGAGUCGGUCUGCGCGGAAGAUUUAACGGGGCUAAGCAGUGAACCGAAGCUUGGGGUGCAUAAAACUUGUUUUAUGCGCGGUAGAGGAGCGUUCCGUAAGCCUGCGAAGGUGGAUUGAGAAGUCUGCUGGAGGUAUCGGAAGUGCGAAUGCUGACAUGAGUAACGAUAAUGCGGGUGAAAAGCCCGCACGCCGAAAGCCCAAGGUUUCCUUGCGCAACGUUAAUCGACGCAGGGUUAGUCGGUCCCUAAGGCGAGGGCGAAAGCCGUAGUCGAUGGGAAGCAGGUUAAUAUUCCUGCACCUCGCGUGAGUGCGAUGGAGGGACGGAGAAGGUUAGGUGUACCGGGCGUUGGUUGUCCCGGGGAAAGGCGGUAGGUUUGGAUCUUUGGCAAAUCCGGGAUCCUUUAAGACCGAGCACCGAGACGAGCCUUU